GUCUAUGGCCAUACCACCCUGAACGCGCCCGAUUUCGUCUGAUCUUGGAAGCUAAGCAGGGUCGGGCCUGGUUAGUACUUGGAUAGGAGGAUGAUCAUUAGUUUAGUAUUACCAUAAGGC
ensembl:rRNA 5S_rRNA 5S ribosomal RNA